rnacentral:rRNA from 1 species
CGAAUUAGUUUGAGCUAAACAAUUUGGCUUUUUAGGGCAAUGAUGUGCGUUAUAUAGCACAAUUUCAAAAGGUGUUUAGGGGCGAUAGGCUUGUCAAAAAUUAAGAUAUCUUGAUACCAUAAAAAUGUAUUUAGUACUUAAAACAAAUAUAAAGUGUUUAGGCUUUAUAUGGUUACAAUAUUUAUUUUAGUUUAGUAAAGAUAUAACUAUCUAUUACUUGUGGAAAUUAUUAUUCAAAUUUAAAUUAUGUACCUAAUAAGUGGUUGUGUAUAAAAUUUGUAAUUACAUUAAUAAUGUUCACAUUAGUACAUCUAUAAGACCUAGAUAACGAACUCGGCAAAAUUUUCCUCAACUGUUUAUCAAAAACAUAACUAUAUGAGAUUCUAUAUAGCUAUUUCUGCUCAAUGUGUAAAUAAAUAGCCGCAGUACUUUGACUGUGCAAAGGUAGCAUAAUCAAUUGACUUAUAAUUGAAGUCUGGAAUGAAAGAAUCUAUGGGGAACCACUGUUUCAUUUAGGUAUAAGGAAAUUAUUUAGUAGGUGAAAAGACCUAUAACUAAAAAAUAGACGAGAAGACCCUAGAAAUUUUAAAUAGAAAGUUAAUACGUCUUUUUUGUUGGGGCGACAAAGUAGCAGGGAACCUACUUGAAGAAUAAGGAUUAAAUAUAAAGAUUAAAUAAAUUACUCUAGGGAUAACAGCAUAAUAUUUAAAAGUUUGUGACCUCGAUGUUGGACUAGGAAACUAUAGUUUAGAAGACUACUAUAAAGGCUCUGUU